CCUUAUUCAGCAAGAGAAAAUACAGACAUUUUUCCUCAUCUGUCCACUCUCUGAUCCUCAGAUUUCUUUGGGCAUUUUAUAAGGCUGUGAAAUCCCAAAGCCUGGGAACCACUGCCCUGUGGGGUCAUGACUCCAACUCCUCACCCUGCUGGGAGUGUGUGGGCCUCCUGUUCUAGAUGUUGACUCGGAGCCCAUACAGAGACCGGCCCUGGAGUUCUUCUGCAAGGUGACAAGUGGGGUCUGCUGUGGCUGCCUCCCUGGAGGUUACCAUGGAGUUUCAGGACCAGGACCUGCAGCAGAGAAGCCCCAGAAUCUUCUGGACUUCUCCAGACCCGGUCAGAGCUGGUGAUUUAACAAGGCUUCAGUUUUGCGCAGGAAGCCUCGCACCUUCCCGGGGCCGCAGAGAUCCUCUCUCCCUUCCGCACUCGACGCAUCCUGAGCUGUGGGUCUCUGCUUCCUGCGAGUGAGUCUCCUAUCCUGUGGCUGGCCUGUCUUUGCCUCCAGGUGGUCGAGAGCUGAGUUGGAACCAGCCUGUGACACUCGGCUUCUCUACCUGCUCACCGUGGGCGAGACCUUGGCCAAGUCUCCUCCCCCUUGAGCCUGCCUUUUCUCAUCUGUUAAGGGGUCUGGGGAGUAAUAAUACUGUGCUUCCCCGAAAACAAGACCUACCCAUAAAAUAAGCCCUAGCAGGAUUUCUAAGCACGUGCGCAACAGGAGCCCCACCCCGAAAAUCAGCCCUAGUGCUGGGCGUGGCUACGCAGCGCAUCUGCACAACCCCUGCAUUGCGUUGUGGAGCGGGAAAGACGACGAGCAGCCCUUCUCACCUGCCCCGGGAGAGCUCUAGUGCUCGACAGGAGA